CAAAACAAAGCAAAGAAACAAAACAAAAAACAUAAUGUACUUUUAAGCUCUCUCUGUGUCCACUGCCAAGUGUCAAACUUCCUCCCUUUAGCUGAUGCAAACUAACGUUAGCGCUUACGGUUUGUACGUGAACACAACCGUCAGCUUUUCACUUUUGGUGCCGAUAAAAUUUUGAGCAUUUUCUACAGUUUGUAAAAUGGUCGUCAUUUGCAUUACAUGCCAGCAGAGUUCGCUAACUGACUUUACCGGGGAUUAUUAUUAACAGACCAAUUCUCUGCAGUUUUAGGGUGAGCUGGAAUAGGUAUAUGGUUGCAAUAAUACGGGUAAGAGCGCAACAGCAUAGAGACAAUGACGAUAACUCUAAUAAUGGCACCCAUCUCUCCCCGUCCUGGCCUCCAUCAUUAACGCUACAUUGAUGUAGAGAGUCUCUGACACAGCUGUGCUCUGCAGCCCAGACACCCUGCUUAUCUGUGAUUCGGCCAGACUGGUGUUGAACUCCUCCAAAGGCAUGCGCGGGGUUAGGACAGUGAAGUGUCUGACACUGACCAUGUACCAGUGCCUGAGAACACUGGUAUGGAGGGGGAGAACGCACCUCUUUACUGCAUUUGUCGGAAACCAGACAUCAACUGCUUCAUGAUCCUUUGCCAUGAUAAAUUGGUCAGUUUACAACCAGGAGCCGUACACCUUAACCUCAGAGGCCAGGACAUCCAGGGGCAGUGUGAACACACACUUCUUUAAAUGGGAUGCAGGACUGACUAUAGAGGGCCACCCCCUCGCCAGACAACCAAGUGCUGUCCCUGUGCACGGCCAGUGUGAGAAGGACUCUCACUAAAGUCAACCCACACAAAGCUGCUGGACCAGACAAUAUACCCGGACGUGUGCUCGGAGCCUGUGCUGACCAGCUGACUGAUGUCCUAGCGGGCAUCUUUAACAUCUCCCUGAGUCAAGCUGUUGUGCCAAGUGCUUUAAAACCACCACCAUCUUACCUGUACCAAAGACAGCUACAGCCUCGCAGUUCGAAGACAAUGGACGAUGCGAUCUCAUUGGCACUCCACCUAGCCCUAUCACAACUGGAUCAAUGCAACGUCCACCUAAGAAUGCUGUUCACUGAUUUCAUCUUAGCAUUCAACACCAUCAUUGCCCAGCAGCUGAUCGGCAAGCUGGACCUGCUCAGACUUAACACCUCCACCUGCAACAGGAUCCUGGUCUUUCUUACUGAUGGACCCCAGACAGUACAGGUUGGAAACAUAAGAUCCAACACCAUCACACUGAGCACAGCCCCCCCCCCAGGGAUGUGUGCUGAGCCCGCUACUCUUCACGCUGCUGACCCACGACUGCACCUCCAGCUCCAACAUGUGAUGAGUCAAUGUUGUGAUUGUUUGUGAUUUAUGGUCCCCCUCUCUCCUAGCCUCCACCACCCAACAAACAGUCUGUGCUUCCAAGUGUUACUUAGUGUCUUUGUCUGAAAACUUAAUAAAUUGUUAACUGUUGACUCAGUUUUCUCCUGUUUUUCACUUAGAAGGUCAGGUAAGUAAAUUGUCUUUUGGUUGGAUUUUUUUUUUCUUUUUUAGGGACGCUUAGGAGUGUUUAGGUAUUUG